ensembl:snRNA U6 U6 spliceosomal RNA
AGGCUUCAGCAGCACGUAUACUAAAAUUGAAAUGAUACAGAGAAGAUUAGCAUGGCCCCUGCAUAAGGAUGACAUGCAAAUUCGUGAAGCAUUCCAUAUAUAU